AACGAACGCUGGCGGCAUGCCUAACACAUGCAAGUCGAACGGGAUCCAGGCUUCGGCCUGGUGAGAGUGGCGGACGGGUGAGUAACACGUGGGAACCUGCCUUUUGGUUCGGGAUAACCGCGGGAAACUGCGGCUAAUACCGGAUGCUCCCGAGAGGGGAAAGAUUUAUCGCCAGAAGAGGGGCCCGCGUCCGAUUAGGUAGUUGGUGAGGUAAUGGCUCACCAAGCCGACGAUCGGUAGCUGGUCUGAGAGGAUGAUCAGCCACACUGGGACUGAGAUACGGCCCAGACUCCUACGGGAGGCAGCAGU
rnacentral:rRNA from 1 species